rnacentral:tRNA from 1 species
GCUAGCGUGGCUCAGUCGGCAGAGCAGCCGAUUCGUAAUCGGCAGGUCGGGGGUUCGAUUCCCCCCGCUAGCU